CCUACGGGUGGCAGCAGUGGGGAAUAUUGCACAAUGGGGGAAACCCUGAUGCAGCGACGCCGCGUGAGCGAAGAAGUAUUUCGGUAUGUAAAGCUCUAUCAGCAGGGAAGAAAAUGACGGUACCUGAGUAAGAAGCUCCGGCUAAAUACGUGCCAGCAGCCGCGGUAAUACGUAUGGAGCAAGCGUUAUCCGGAUUUACUGGGCGUAAAGGGAGCGUAGGCGGCCUGCCAAGUCUGAUGUGAAAUACCGGGGCUCAACCCCGGGGCUGCAUUGGAAACUGGCAGGCUGGAGUGCCGGAGAGGCAGGCGGAAUUCCUAGUGUAGCGGUGAAAUGCAUAGAUAUCACGCAGAACUCCGAUUGCGAAGGCAGCAUACCGGCGCUCAACUGACGCUGAGGCACGAAAGCGUGGGGAUCGAACAGGAUUAGAUACCCCUGUAGUC
rnacentral:rRNA from 1 species